CAUUAGCUAGUUGGUGGGGUAAAGGCUUACCAAGGCAAUGAUGCGUAGCCGAACUGAGAGGUUGAUCGGCCACAUUGGGACUGAGACACGGCCCAAACUCCUACGGGAGGCAGCAGUAGGGAAUCUUCCACAAUGGGCGAAAGCCUGAUGGAGCAACGCCGCGUGGGUGAAGAAGGUCUUCGGAUCGUAAAACCCUGUUGUUAGAGAAGAAAGUGCGUGAGAGUAACUGUUCACGUUUCGACGGUAUCUAACCAGAAAGCCACGGCUAACUACGUGCCAGCAGCCGCGGUAAUACGUAGGUGGCAAGCGUUAUCCGGAUUUAUUGGGCGUAAAGGGAACGCAGGCGGUCUUUUAAGUCUGAUGUGAAAGCCUUCGGCUUAACCGGAGUAGUGCAUUGGAAACUGGGAGACUUGAGUGCAGAAGAGGAGAGUGGAACUCCAUGUGUAGCGGUGAAAUGCGUAGAUAUAUGGAAGAACACCAGUGGCGAAAGCGGCUCUCUGGUCUGUAACUGACGCUGAGGUUCGAAAGCGUGGGUAGCAAACAGGAUUAGAUACCCUGGUAGUCCACGCCGUAAACGAUGAAUGCUAAGUGUUGGAGGGUUUCCGCCCUUCA
rnacentral:rRNA from 1 species